rfam:Clostridium oryzae strain DSM 28571 CLORY_contig000088, whole genome shotgun sequence.
GAAAGCUGUAUACAUUGAGAGGUGUACGUACAGUUUGGAGGAAAGUGAGGGGGAAAACUGAAAGUUGCACCCUGAACUUAUCCUAC